rnacentral:rRNA from 1 species
AUGCCCAGCGCACGCACUAGGGGAGACCUGCCCCUCAGGUUCCUGCAGGGCAACAAGAGCCCACUGGAGGUUGCAACUCAAGUGGCAAAAGAAGCUGAUGAGUACAAUGGAUUCAACCUUAUACUAGCUGAUCUAACGAGGAAUGUCAUGGUCUAUGCGUCAAACCGGCCAAAGGGGCAACCUGCGAUGAUUCAGCUCGUCUCACCAGGACUCCAUAUGUUGUCCAAUGCAAGGCUAGACAGCCCUUGGCAGAAGGCAAUUCGCCUCGGUAAAAACUUCAGGGAGUUUAUAAGGAAGCAUGGUGAAGAUGAAGUUGAAACAAAGGAUAUAGCUGACAGACUAAUGACUAACACCACGGCUGAUAAAGAUAGGCUGCCGAACACCGGUUGUGAUCCCAACUGGGAGCACGGUCUGAGCUCCAUCUUCAUCGAGGUGCAAACUGACAAAGGGCUCUAUGGGACAAGGAGCACAGCAGUUCUUUCAGUGAACUAUGAUGGAGAAGCUAGCUUAUACGAUAAGUACCUUGAGAGUGGUAUAUGGAAGGACCACACAGUGCAUUAG